rnacentral:misc_RNA from 1 species
ACACCUCUAAAACGAACCGUACCGUUCCGUGCAAGAAACGAACCGUACCGUUCACAAACCGAACAGUACCGUUCAAAAAGCGUAACGAACCGAACCGUGCAACUGGUGUAGUAGCAUGCUUCAGGCUUACCUAUGACUCAUUGUGUGAAAGUCUCAUUAAAAAAGGAUAUAACCCCAAAAUUAAAGAUAAACUUGAUGUACACAAAGACUUUAUAUGCAAAGGUUUAUUUCUUGACUCCGAGAAAGGAAACAUUCUUAAAUUGUCUCAUGAUGGAAAAAUCCUCAGGUGUAGCCAUGGAACCAGGAUGAUGGAUAAAGCUGAGAUAAUAUCUGUGUAUGGUCCAGAUUUACACUGGGAACACUUUGAAGAGGCUAUAGGCAAUGUUAAAUCUGUUGGAAAGGACAUGAAGUACCGAUUCUUUGAAAACUACUUUGAUAUUCCAGCCCUUGUUUGUUGCGCUCACAUCGUUGACAUCUUGGAUGAAGAGAAUGGUGAACCAUUGAAAAAGUAUGAUUUCUGGAAAGAUGUUAACCAUUCUUUUGGAGAAAACUAUAUCCCCACUCAGUUUGCAAGUAAGUUCAAAAAAUGCUGGCUGGUUCUUUCCCAGAUUAAAAGAGAAUCCUAAGACAUAUUUACAGCCCAGUAGUAAUGGAGUCAAAGAUUGGCUGAAGGAAUUAAAGGGAGAUAAGCGUGUUGUUUUCCUGAUGACCUCCUCUGCCAUUGACUUUGCAGGCUUGGUCAUAGAAAUAGUACUUGGCUCAGACUGGAGAAAUUACUUUGAUAUUUAUAUCACUGAUGCAAAGAAACCUGGAUUUUUCACUAACAACAACAAAUUUAAAUCAAUAGAAGCAGGGAUUCCGGGAGAGGAAGUAAAUUCACUGGAACCAGGGAUAACCUACUCCGGUGGAAAUUACGCAGACUUGAUGAAGUUCCUGGAAAAACAAACCGGAAAAUCUGAUCCAAAGGUAGUGUAUUUUGGGGACAGCCUAUGUUCCGACAGUUUUCCUGCCAAGGUAUAUGGAAACUGGGAUGUUGUGCUGGUCCUUGAGGAAAUGGAGGCUGAGGGUUACCAUCCGGGGUCAAAGGACAUCCUUGAAACCAAGCGCAAAGUCCCCAAACAUGAGGUAAACCUGUACAUCAACCCAGAAGAGGAACAGUACAUUUUGUCUGAAGGUUGGGGGUCGUUUUUCUACCACGAAGAAGAAGACCCAAAACAUGAUAAACACAUGAACACAUACUGGGGAAGGACCAUCAGUCAAUACAAUGCUAUAGCAGUCCCUACUGUAGAAUACAUAGCUGGUAUGCCUAUCAACCACCAAUAUAAAAAAUUUAACAGCUCUGAGGUGGGGAACACGGAAGGAUUCUACCCAGGUAAACCUAAACCACUGCUUCCCUGAGGAACUCUCCUACUGCUGAGGUUUUAUUCAAUGGAAGUUAAUUUCAGUCAUAGCACUUCCGGUGUUUGACAGGCAAGAAAAGGAAUACUUACAUGUAGUAUGCUGAACUGUAAAAUAGAUGCUGUAAACUCCUAUAAACCAGCCUUCAUGGUUGUUAGAGUAAUCAAACAAUAUCUAAUAAACAGGAAUCAGUAAAAAAAAAUGUCAGCCUGUGUGUUGUUAUUGGUCACCAUCAAAUUCUUCUUGUUGACUGAUGCAAGUUUAUUAAACCUCUACUUGUGUGCAACAGU